CGCCCAUUGGGAAGCAUCCCAUAUAGAACCGUAAACCCACAUUGGCCUUAUUGGGAAUGUCGCGUCGUUCCUUCUUAUAUACCUUCGAAUCGGCACGUUGUCUACCAAAAAUCUGUGAUAGUGGAAGAAAUCUGUAUAUCAAGGUGUACGGCUUCCCUGGCGUUGUUCCGAGGAAUUCGAUGUCGAUUUCGUCGUGGUUUCCGGGGAAAUAUUGGUUGUUCGAAAGCUAAAUCAGAAUAAAGUUGAACAAGUGUAGCCAGAUUGGAGUUUUACAGCAACACCAAAAUAACCGGAUCGGUACGAGUGCAGGGAUUUAAACCCACUACCUGUUCGACGAUAUUACCCACAGAGAAAAAUCAGCCAAAAUACAAAAUCAGAGACAGUGCGAAUAUAGUAAAAAAUGAUGCAGGGAAGCCGCCACAAUGUGUUUGUCUCGUAAUAACUGUUAGAUGUAGAUUAUAAAAUAGAAGUACUUUUACGGGUUGUCUCUCAUACAUUCCAUGGUUAUUAUGAGUCAGCUACAUUGUGUGGUCUCCUUAACUAGUAGACCUGAAGUACUGUCGAGCCAAA